rnacentral:rRNA from 1 species
UACGUAGGGUGCGAGCGUUAAUCGGAAUUACUGGGCGUAAAGCGUGCGCAGGCGGUUUUGUAAGACAGAGGUGAAAUCCCCGGGGUUAACCUGGGAACUGCCUUUGUGACUGCAAGGCUUGAGUGCGGCAGAGGGGGAUGGAAUUCCGCGUGUAGCAGUGAAAUCCGUAGAUAUGCGGAGGAACACCGAUGGCGAAGGCAAUCCCCUGGGCCUGCACUGUCGCGCAUGCACGAAAUCGUGGGGAGCAAACAGG